UGUCCCUGUUUUGCCCUGAUCACUCCAUCCAUAGCCACAGCACCCUGCUACCACAUCUCUUUUCAUCGGAAGAGCACAAGUC